ACCAAUUCUGGGGGAGAAAUGGUUCCUCUUGGCAUAAUGGCUUGGACGCUAUAUUAAUUAGUAUUAUUGUGUGGUAUAUCCUGAUUGAUGGACUCAUCUUGUGGUGCCAUUUGAUCCUGGAAACGCCUCAUAUAUGU